rnacentral:rRNA from 1 species
CGCUGGCGGCGUGCCUAAUACAUGCAAGUCGAACGGUCUUUCUAUGGAAGCUUGCUUCCACUGAGAAGAUAGUGGCGAACGGGUGAGGUAACAACGUGGGUAACCUGCCCAUAAGAGGGGGAUAACAUCCGGAAACGGGUGCUAAUACCGCAUAGUUUUCUUGAUCGCAUGAUCGAGAAAGGAAAGACGGCCUUUGUGCUGUCGCUUAUGGAUGGACCCGCGGCGUAUUAGUUAGUUGGUGAGGUAAUGGCUCACCAAGACGAUGAUACGUAGCCGACCUGAGAGGGUGAUCGGCCACAUUGGGACUGAGACACGGCCCAAACUCCUACGGGAGGCAGCAGUAGGGAAUCUUCCGCAAUGGACGAAAGUCUGACGGAGCAACGCCGCGUGAGUGAAGAAGGUUUUUCCGGAUCGUAAAACUCUGUUGUCAGAGAAGAACAAGUCGGAGAGUAACUGCUCCGGCCUUGACGGUAUCUGACCAGAAAGCCACGGCUAACUACGUGCCAGCAGCAGC